rnacentral:lncRNA from 1 species
AACAAUAUCACAAAUUCCUAGGCUAGCCCUUCAAAGUCUGUAAACCUAGUUUGUAGUUAUACUAUAGGCUCCACAGUACUAACUUGGGUUUCAGGGCCCUAGAAAAAGAAGCUAUGUUGUGAAAAAAUGAGUGUGACUGUGGAGGAUGGUUAAACAACGAGGAGAAAGAACAUGUCCUCUUGUUUCCUUGGUUCAAAAUUCUGAUACAGUCACUUUUUUGACAUCUCUCCUGUCCCUUCCUCCACCCUGGCUCAUGACCUUGUGAAGUGCCUUCAAGCACCCUCCGUGUCAGCCUGUCAGACUUUACUGAGGUCACAUCAUUCCCAAACAUUCUUAUGCCAACAAUUCCUCAGUUGCCCUGACUCACAAUUCAUAGACCCAAACACUGAACUCUCAUAGAUUUCAGGAAUUAAUUUUCAAUUCAUUAAAACACUA